rnacentral:sRNA from 1 species
UCAACCUGUGGGAACGAUGACAACAAGGAAGGUGACAGCACCCGUGGUACGGUGUUGUAAAUGGCGGACACUCUCCUACACCAUCGUAUUCAUUCACUGUGUCUUUGAACAGCCCCUUGGGAGCUAGAUUGUCAUUAUCUUCCAUUUUGAGGAAAAGAAAAGCCUACUUCAGCCCCCUGAAAAUAGGUGUUUGCAAAGGAGUCAUUCUGGGUGGCAGAGCUGUACACAAACAGGCCUUCAGGGAAGACUGAACAGGAUGAUGAUGGAUAAGUGACACUGAGCUGGCAGUGGUCACACAGGCAUUCUACACAGGAACAGGCAUGUUGGCUCCAUUCUGCAGUCACAUGCAAGAGGGGCAUGAGAACACUGAUUCUGGCACCCAGUAGGUGCUCAGCCCAGUGUUUUAAAUGAACUCCAGGUGAAAGUAAAUAGUUCACCAACAUGCUAUAUCGUUACCAUACCCAACCCCUGUCUGCAACCCAUGGCCAAGUAUCUGGACCUCACCACACAGCAUCAGGGAAGUCUCAGCUGCCUGGAAAGCACCCUGGAGUUCUCUUCCACUCAGCAAAACUGGGCAUAAACACCCUGAGGCUUCCACACAAGGCCUUUCCUUGACAGCUGUCUGCCACAGCAGGAGGCGAGCAGGAAGCCACUACCUCUGGGCUUUUCCUCUGAUUUCCUGUGGCUGCCACAGCCAAGCAGGGCUUGCCUACUAGCUGCCUCUCCCUCGUCAUGAAUCCAGGCCUACCAGAUGGGAUUCCUCACUACCUUCCAUGGAAAAGGACAAAGUGAUUUAGACAAGAUUAAGGCAGAAUGAACUUCACUCCGAAUGAAGUUCCCCAUAACUUCAAGGUCUGACUAAAUGUCACAAGAUGUAGCUUCCAAUAGCUCAAAAAUGUGCCUCUAUGAUAACGUGGCGACCUCAAAUAAAGAGAUCCCUGGAAGUGAUUGGAAUACAACAGCAGGCAGAUCACUUUCCUGUCGCUAUGAGAAAGCUGGUCAUGACUUCAAGCUUAAUCAAUUUCAAAAA